rnacentral:rRNA from 1 species
CCUACGGGAGGCAGCAGUAGGGAAUCUUCCACAAUGGGCGAAAGCCUGAUGGAGCAACGCCGCGUGGGUGAAGAAGGUCCUCGGAUCGUAAAACCCUGUUGUUAGAGAAGAAAGUGCGUGAGAGUAACUGUUCACGUUUCGACGGUAUCUAACAAGAAAGCCACGGCUAACUCCGUGCCAGCAGCCGCGGUAAUACGUAGGUGGCAAGCGUUAUCCGGAUUGAUUGGGCGUAAAGGGAACGCAGGCGGUCUUUUAAGUCUGAUGUGAAAGCCUUCGGCUUAACCAGAGUAGUGCAUUGGAAACUGGGAGACUUGAGUGCAGAAGAGGAGAGUGGAACUCCAUGUGUAGCGGUGAAAUGCGUAGAUAUAUGGAAGAACACCAGUGGCGAAGGCGGCUCUCUGGUCUGUAACUGACGCUGAGGUUCGAAAGCGUGGGUAGCAAACAGGAUUAGAUACCCCGGUAGUC